GCAGUAUUCUGACUGUGCGAAGGUAGCAUAAUAAAUUGUCUUUUAAAUGAAGGCUUGAAUGAAAGGUUGGACAAAGUGUCAUCUGUUUCUUAAAUAUUUAUUGAAUUUGACUUUCAAGUGAAAAGGCUUGAAUGAAUUAAAAAGACGAUAAGACCCUAUAAAUCUUUACAAUAAAUAAAUUUUAUAUUUUAGUUUAUUAAGUAUAUAAGAUAUUAAAUUUAUAGUUGUUUCGCUGGGGCGGCGUAGAUAUAUAAAUAAACUGUCUAUAUUUUAAACUCAAUUAUAAUUGAUUAAUAAAAUUGAUCCUUAAAUAGAUUGAAAGAUUAAGAUACUUUAGGGAUAACAGCGUUAUUUUUUCUGAGAGUUCUUAUCGAAGAAAAAGUUUGCGACCUCGAUGUUGAAUUAAAGUAUCUUUAUGGUGCAGCCGCUAUAAGAGAGAGUCUGUUCGACUUUUUAAUACUUUACAUGAUUUGAGUUCAGACCGGCGUGAGCCAGGUU
rnacentral:rRNA from 1 species